rnacentral:misc_RNA from 1 species
UUAAGUUCAGCGGGUAGUCCUACCUGAUUUGAGGUCUUAUGACAUGAAAAAAAGGCUUGUCCGAAGACGUCUGUAAGCAGCCCCGAAAGGUACCGAGCGGCGCACUAAGCGUAUUGGUUAUCACACCGUCUCGUUUUUCUACCCGACGGUCCGGCUAAUGCGUUUAAAGACGAGCGGGCCUUUCGGCCGCAGGCGUCCAA